rnacentral:pre_miRNA from 1 species
AUACUGGACCUGAUUCAAAACCUUUUGCAGUCAAUGGGAGUCUUUCCAUUGACUUCAGUGGGCUCUGAAUCAAAUCCAUAAUAU